rnacentral:rRNA from 1 species
GACGAACGCUGGCGGCGUGCCUAAUACAUGCAAGUUGAGCGCUGAAGGUUGGUACUUGUACCAACUGGAUGAGCAGCGAACGGGUGAGUAACGCGUGGGGAAUCUGCCUUUGAGCGGGGGACAACAUUUGGAAACGAAUGCUAAUACCGCAUAAAAACUUUAAACACAAGUUUUAAGUUUGAAAGAUGCAAUUGCAUCACUCAAAGAUGAUCCCGCGUUGUAUUAGCUAGUUGGUGAGGUAAAGGCUCACCAAGGCGAUGAUACAUAGCCGACCUGAGAGGGUGAUCGGCCACAUUGGGACUGGGACACGGCCCAACCUCCUGCGGGAGGCAGCAGUCGGGAAUCUUCGGCAAUGGACGCAAGUCUGACCGAGCAACGCCGCGUGAGUGCAGAAGGUUUUCGGAUCGUAAAACUCUGUUGGUAGAGAAGAACGUUGGUGAGAGUGGAAAGCUCAUCAAGUGACGGUAACUACCCAGAAAGGGACGGCUAACUACGUG